CCUACGGGAGGCAGCAGUGGGGAAUAUUGGGCAAUGGGCGCAAGCCUGACCCAGCAACGCCGCGUGAAGGAAGAAGGCUUUCGGGUUGUAAACUUUCUUUAAGAGGGAAGAGCAGAAGACGGUACCUCUUGAAUAAGCCACGGCUAACUAAGUGCCAUCAACUGCGGCAAUACGUAGGUGGCAGGUGUUACCCGGAUUUACUGGGUGUAAAGGGCGUGCAGCCGGGAAGAAAAGUCAGAUGUGAAAUCCCGCGGCUCAACCGCGGAACUGCAUUUGAAACUGUUUUUCUUGAGUACCGGAGAGGUCAUCGGAAUUCCUUGUGUAGCGGUGAAAUGCGUAGAUAUAAGGCAGAACACCGGUGGCGAAGGCGGAUGACUGGACGGCAACUGACGGUGAGGCGCGAAAGCGUGGGGAGCGAACAGGAUUAGAUACCCUAGUAGUC
rnacentral:rRNA from 1 species